UCGGCUCCACAAAUUCCAGUCCUUCUUUUUUUUCUCGGCACUGCACUGCACUGCUCUCCUCCCCGAGAGAAGCUGCUCAAAGAAAUCCAAGCGAGAAGGGAGAUGGCGGAGGCGGUAGCGGUGGCGGUGGCGGUGGCGUACGAGGCGCAGCGGCAGAGGCAGGUAGAGGCGAACAAGCGGAAGCUGGACGAGCUGCAGCUCCACCGCCUCUCCGCCGCCGUCAGAGAGGCCGCCGCCGCUGCCAAACCCUCGCCGGCCAAGAAGUGGAAGGCGCGGGUGCCGCGGGACGGUGCCGCCGCCGGCGUGGAGCCGCUACGGCGGUCCGGCCGACUCGCCGACCUCCCCGAGAAGCCCGUGUACUACCAGGUCAGGGUCAAGAAGCUGCUCAAGUAUAAUGCAAGGGUGCCGCUGGACGCUGCCGAGAGGAGCUACGCCAUCUCUAAGGCUGAGGAGCUGGUGCAAGAUCUGGGCUCCAGCUUCCCCAUCUUCAUCCAGCCCAUGAUACAGUCCCAUGUCACCAGAGGCUUCUGGCUGGGCCUCCCGACGUAUUUCUGCCGGAAGCACCUGCCCAAGAGUGAUGAGACGAUCACCCUGGUGGUGGAUGAGGAGGGUGACGAGUCAGACACGCUCUACCUCGCAAAGAAGGCUGGCCUCAGCACUGGAUGGAAAGAGUUCGCCAUCGAGCACAAGCUGCAUGAUGGAGAUUGCUUGGUCUUCCAACUCAUUGAGCAGACAAAGUUCAAGUGGUGCAGGUCUACAUAAUUCGAGCAACUUCCUACUUUGAAAGUGAGCACUGAUGAAACUAGUAGCUUCUAAUAUGGUGAUUGGAGCAGUUACGGAGGCCGGAGCGUAGGACAAGCUCGCAUCUGGAAAUUGCUAGGUGUAACCUUUUUGGGUGGCAGAAAGUUAGUUGUGUUUACCUGACCUAGUAGUAUCUACCAGCUGCUAAUUUGUGUACUUCUUGGGCUUACCAAUUGAACGGUUCAAUCUGCACUAUGCAAGGGGAUGUUGAUGGCUUUAUGGUGCUAGUAUACAGUAAUACAGACACUAUGUAUCGACCAGCUGGCAGCUGCUAUUUCUCGUUGUCAGGAACUUAGUUUGUUGCAGAUACACAAAAGAGAAGCAAUCUCAUGUUGAAUUC